CCUACGGGGGGCAGCAGUGGGGAAUUUUCCGCAAUGGGCGAAAGCCUGACGGAGCAAUACCGCGUGAGGGAGGAAGGCUUUUGGGUUGUAAACCUCUUUUCUCAGGGAGGAAAAUUUGACGGUACCUGAGGAAUAAGCAUCGGCUAACUCCGUGCCAGCAGCCGCGGUAAUACGGAGGAUGCAAGCGUUAUUCGGAAUUAUUGGGCGUAAAGCGUCCGCAGGUGGUUUUUCAAGUCUGCUGUCAAAGACCGAAGCUUAACUUCGGGUAGGCGGUGGAAACUGAGAGACUAGAGUACGGUAGGGGUAGAGGGAAUUUCCAGUGUAGCGGUGAAAUGCGUAGAGAUUGGAAAGGACACCAGUGGCGAAGGCGCUCUACUGGACCGUAACUGACACUCAGGGACGAAAGCUAGGGUAGCGAAAGGGAUUAGAUACCCCUGUAGUCCUAGCUGUAAACGAUGGAUACUAGGCGUUGCUUGUAUCGACCCGAGCAGUGCCGUAGCUAACGCGUUAAGUAUCCCGCCUGGGGAGUACGCACGCAAGUGUGAAACUCAAAGGAAUUGACGGGGGCCCGCACAAGCGGUGGAGUAUGUGGUUUAAUUCGAUGCAACGCGAAGAACCUUACCAGGGCUUGACAUCCCGCGAAUCUUUAUGAAAGUAGAGGGUGCCUUAGGGAACGCGGAGACAGGUGGUGCAUGGCUGUCGUCAGCUCGUGUCGUGAGAUGUUGGGUUAAGUCCCGCAACGAGCGCAACCCUCGUCCUUAGUUGCCAGCAUUAAGUUGGGCACUUUAGGGAGACUGCCGGUGACAAACCGGAGGAAGGUGGGGAUGACGUCAAGUCAGCAUGCCCCUUACGCUCUGGGCUACGCACGUACUACAAUGGUCAGGACAAAGGGCAGCAAGCUCGCAAGAGCAAGCGAAUCUCAUCAAACCUGGCCUCAGUUCAGAUUGCAGGCUGCAACUCGCCUGCAUGAAGGAGGAAUCGCUAGUAAUCGCAGGUCAGCAUACUGCGGUGAAUCCGUUCCCGGGCCUUGCACACACCGCCCGUC
rnacentral:rRNA from 1 species